GAACUGCGAAACGUGAUGUGACCUGCACUCUUCGUGAAUCAUCCAAUCUUUGAACGCACAUUGCGCCCCCUGGUAUUCCGGGGGGCAUGCCUGUUCGAGCGUCAUUUCACCACUCAAGCCUCGCUUGGUAUUGGGCGACGCGGUCCGCCGCGCGCCUCAAAUCGACCGGCUGGGUCUUCCGUCCCCUCAGCGUUGUGGAAACUAUUCGCUAAAGGGUGCCGCGGGAGGUCACGCCGCAAAACAACCCCAUUUCUAAGGUUGACCUCGGAUCAGGUAGGGAUACCCGCUGAACUUAAGC
rnacentral:misc_RNA from 1 species